UACGUAGGGUGCGAGCGUUGUCCGGAAUUAUUGGGCGUAAAGAGCUCGUAGGCGGUCUGUCGCGUCGGUCGUGAAAACCUGCAGCUUAACUGUGGGCGUGCGGUCGAUACGGGCAUGACUGGAGUUCGGCAGGGGAGACUGGAAUUCCUGGUGUAGCGGUGAAAUGCGCAGAUAUCAGGAGGAACACCGGUGGCGAAGGCGGUUCUCUGGGCCUUACCUGACGCUGAGGAGCGAAAGCAUGGGGAGCAAACAGG
rnacentral:rRNA from 1 species